rnacentral:rRNA from 1 species
GAUGAACGCUGGCGGCGUGCCUAAUACAUGCAAGUCGAGCGAACGGACGAGAAGCUUGCUUUUCUGAUGUUAGCGGCGGACGGGUGAGUAACACGUGGAUAGCCUACUUAUAAGACUGGGAUAACUUCGGGAAACCGGAGCUAAUACCGGAUAAUAUUUUGAACCGCAUGGUUCAUAAGUGAAAGACGGUCUUGCUGUCACUUAUAGAUGGAUCCGCGCUGCAUUAGCUAGUUGGUAAGGUAACGGUUUACCAAGGCAACGAUGCAUAGCCGACCUGAGAGGGUGAUCGGCCACACUGGAACUGAGACACGGUCCAGACUCCUACGGGAGGCAGCAGUAGGGAAUCUUCCGCAAUGGGCGAAAGCCUGACGGAGCAACGCCGCGUGAGUGAUGAAGGUCUUCGGAUCGUAAAACUCUGUUAUUAGGGAAGAACAUAUGUGUAAGUAACUGUGCACAUCUUGACGGUACCUAAUCAGAAAGCCACGGCUAACUACGUG